UACGUAGGGUCCAAGCGUUAUCCGGAAUCACUGGGCGUAAAGGGCGCGUAGGCGGAUAGUUCAGUCGGGGGUGAAAGCCCGGGGCUCAACCUCGGAACUGCCUUCGAUACUGGCUAUCUUGAGUACGGGAGAGGUGUGUGGAACUCCGAGUGUAGAGGUGAAAUUCGUAGAUAUUCGGAAGAACACCAGUGGCGAAGCGACACACUGGCCCGUUACUGACGCUGAGGCGCGAAAGCGUGGGGAGCAAACAGG
rnacentral:rRNA from 1 species